rnacentral:rRNA from 1 species
CGUGAACCAUCGAGUUUUUGAACGCAAGUUGCGCCUAAAGCCAUUAGGCUGAGGGCACGCCUGCCUGGGUGUCACAAAUCGUUACCCCUUGUGCAUGUCUUGUUUUAGAUACUGUGUUGGGGGUGCAUGAUGACUUCCCAUGAGCAUUGUCUCGUGGUUGGUUGAAAAUUGGGUUCACGGUUGAGCGUGCCAUGGUAUAAUGGUGGAUGAGUAAUGCUCGAGACCAAUCAUGUGUGCGUCUUUGCAGGUUUGGACUCUUGACCCAAUUUGUCUUGUAUUUUUGACAUCUCUAACGAGACCUCAGGUCAGGCGGGGCUACCCGCUGAGUUUAAGCAUAUCAAUAAGCGGAGGAAAAGAAACUAACAAGGAUUCCCUUAGUAACGGCGAGCGAACCGGGAAGAGCCCACCAUGAAAAUCGGUUGUCUUUGGCAUCCGAAUUGUAGUCUG